UCCUCCGGACACUAUACCGGA
rnacentral:misc_RNA from 1 species